UACGUAGGUGGCAAGCGUUAUCCGGAAUUAUUGGGCGUAAAGCGCGCGCAGGUGGUUUCUUAAGUCUGAUGUGAAAAGCCCACGGCUCAACCGUGGAGGGUCAUUGGAAACUGGGGAGACUUGAGUGCAGAAGAGGAAAGUGGAAUUCCAUGUGUAAGCGGUGAAAUGCGUAGAGAUAUGGAGGACACCAGUGGCGAAGGCGACUUUCUGGUCUGUAACUGACACUGAGGCGCGAAAGCGUGGGGAGCAAACAGG
rnacentral:rRNA from 1 species